rnacentral:lncRNA from 1 species
AGCAAUCCGAGGUGGGUUUUGGUGGCAAGGUAGUGGGGAACAGUGGGGCCUGCCUAUUGCGUUGGCGACCAGCAUUCGAUGUCUGCGAUGAGUUAUGGACACUCGCAUUGGGCCAUGUUUUGGAUGGGAGCAACAGGCAUAGACUCGUAAAGCUCUCAGUUCCGGUGAUCUCCGGACGGAGUUAUCAGUGUGAAAAAUAGAAACAUGAUUAUGAAAUUAUCAAAAGAAAAUGUCUGUACAUGGUCUGCACGUGAGAAGUCUGUGGGGUGGAAAGCAAC